rnacentral:rRNA from 1 species
AGUGAACGCUGGCGGCAGGCCUAAUACAUGCAAGUCGAACGGCAGCACAGCAGAGCUUGCUCUGUGGGUGGCGAGUGGCGGACGGGUGAGGAAUACAUGGGAAUCUGCCCAGUCGUGGGGGAUAACGUAUGGAAACGUACGCUAAUACCGCAUGCGCCCUAAGGGGGAAAGCCGGGGACCGCAAGGCCUGGCGCGAUUGGAUGAGCCCAUGUUCGAUUAGCUAGUUGGCGGGGUAAAGGCCCACCAAGGCGACGAUCGAUGGCUGGUCUGAGAGGAUGAUCAGCCACACUGGAACUGAGACACGGUCCAGACUCCUACGGGAGGCAGCAGUAGGGAAUAUUGGACAAUGGGGGCAACCCUGAUCCAGCCAUGCCGCGUGAGUGAAGAAGGCCCUCGGGUUGUAAAGCUCUUUUGUGCGGGAAGAUAAUGACGGUACCGCAAGAAUAAGCCCCGGCUAACUUCGUGCCAGCAGCCGCGGUAAAGCGU